UGUGAAGGAGAUGAUGUUUUUCUGUGUGAGUAUGAAUAUGAUGUUCAGUGGCACAGUUUCAAGCGCCUUGCAGAGAUU